rnacentral:lncRNA from 1 species
GGGUAAUGGCUCUCUCAAAAAUCAAUCUUGCUAGCUGCCAGCUGGCCUCAAAGACCCCUAUAUUAUGGGUAAGCCAAAUAUGAUACGUAAUGUAAGCUAUCCUAUACUAAUAAAGGUAGUAGCCUUAGACUCCAUGCUUCAUCUUAGGUAGGAGUGGCAAUAGGGUCGGGUUGGGUCAUAAAUGGGUCAGGUCAAUGUGGGUCGAGUCAAAAAAUUA